CCCGCUGAACUUAAGCAUAUCAAUAAGCGGAGGAAAAGAAACCAACAGGGAUUGCCUCAGUAACGGCGAGUGAAGCGGCAACAGCUCAAAUUUGAAAUCUGGCCCCCUCGGGGUCCGAGUUGUAAUUUGGAGAGGAUGCUUCGGGUGUGGCCCCGGUCUAAGUUCCUUGGAACAGGACGUCACAGAGGGUGAGAAUCCCGUACGUGCCCGGUGGUCGCCCCCGUGUGAAGCUCCUUCGACGAGUCGAGUUGUUUGGGAAUGCAGCUCAAAAUGGGUGGUAAAUUUCAUCUAAAGCUAAAUAUUGGCCAGAGACCGAUAGCGCACAAGUAGAGUGAUCGAAAGAUGAAAAGCACUUUGGAAAGAGAGUUAAACAGUACGUGAAAUUGUUGAAAGGGAAGCGCUGGCAACCAGACUUGCGCGGGGUCGAUCAUCCGGUGUUCGCACCGGUGCACUCGGCCCCGCGCAGGCCAGCAUCGGUCUGGGCGGCUGGAUAAAGGCCUUGGGAAUGUNNNNNNNNNNNNNNNNNNNNCGUUAUCGCAAUUAAGCAGACAAAUCACUCCACCAACUAAGAACGGCCAUGCACCACCACCCACAAAAUCAAGAAAGAGCUCUCAAUCUGUCAAUCCUUAUUGUGUCUGGACCUGGUGAGUUUCCCCGUGUUGAGUCAAAU
rnacentral:ncRNA from 1 species